GUUCCACAUAUAAGUGAUGUUAUAUAAUAUUUGUCUUUGACUUAUUUCAUCAAGUAUAAUAUUCUCUAGCCUAUCAGCCCCCGUUGCACCACCACCUCCCCCUCUCUUCCUCGGCACUACCUAGGAGGUGGCAGCCAUCUCCUAGUUGGCAUCAUGGCUACCCUCAGACCCCUCGUGAAGCCCAAGAUCGUCAAAAAGAGGACCAAGAAGUUCAUCCGGCACCAGUCAGACCGAUAUGUCAAAAUUAAGUGGAACUGGCGGAAACCCAGAGGCAUUGACAACAGGGUGCUCAGGAGGUUCAAGGGCCAGAUCCUGAUGCCCAGCAUCGGCUAUGGGAGCAACAAGAAAACAAAGCAAAUGCUGCCCAGCGGCUUCCUUAAGUUCUUGGUCCACAACGUCAAGGAGCUCAAAGUGCUGCUGAUGUGCAACAAAUCUUACUGUGCUGAGAUUGCUCACAAUGUCUCCUCCAAGAACCGCAAAGCCAUUGUGGAAAGAGCAGCCCAGCUGGCCAUCAGAGUCACCAAUCCCAACGCCAGGCUGCGCAGCAAAGAAAACGAAUAGACAGCUCAUGCACAUUGUAUUUGUGUUAAUAAAACCAUGAAACUCAAA